GCGGCGGACGGGUGAGUAAUGCCUAGGAAUCUGCCUAGUAGUGGGGGAUAACUUGCCGAAAGGUAAGCUAAUACCGCAUACGUCCUACGGGAGAAAGCAGGGGACUCUUCGGAGCCUUGCGCUAUUAGAUGAGCCUAGGUCGGAUUAGUUAGUUGGUGAGGUAAUGGCUCACCAAGACCGCGAUCCGUAACUGGUCUGAGAGGAUGAUCAGUCACACUGGAACUGAGACACGGUCCAGACUCCUACGGGAGGCAGCAGUGGGGAAUAUUGGACAAUGGGGGCAACCCUGAUCCAGCCAUGCCGCGUGUGUGAAGAAGGUCUUAGGAUUGUAAAGCACUUUAAGUUGGGAGGAAGGGCAGUUAACUAAUACUUGACUGUUUUGACGUUACCGACAGAAUAAGCACCGGCUAACUUCGUGCCAGCAGCCGCGGUAAUACGAAGGGUGCAAGCGUUAAUCGGAAUUACUGGGCGUAAAGCGCGCGUAGGUGGUUCGUUAAGUUAGGAGUGAAAGCCCCGG
rnacentral:rRNA from 1 species